rnacentral:rRNA from 1 species
UACGAAGGAUGCGAGCGUUAUCCGGAUUUAUUGGGUUUAAAGGGAGCGUAGGCGGUCUUAUAAGUCAGUGGUGAAAUCUCCAGGCUUAACUUGGAAACUGCCAUUGAUACUAUCAAUCUUGAAUGCCGUGGAGGUCAGCGGAAUAUGUCAUGUAGCGGUGAAAUGCUUAGAUAUGACAUAGAACACCAAUUGCGAAGGCAGCUGGCUACACGAAUAUUGACACUGAUGCACGAAAGCGUGGGGAUCAAACAGG